rnacentral:rRNA from 1 species
GACGAACGCUGGCGGCGUGCCUAAUACAUGCAAGUAGAACGCACAGUUUAUACCGUAGCUUGCUACACCAUAGACUGUGAGUUGCGAACGGGUGAGUAACGCGUAGGUAACCUGCCUGGUAGCGGGGGAUAACUAUUGGAAACGAUAGCUAAUACCGCAUAAUAUUAAUUAUUGCAUGAUAAUUAAUUGAAAGGUGCAAUUGCACCACUACCAGAUGGACCUGCGUUGUAUUAGCUAGUAGGUGAGGUAACGGCUCACCUAGGCGACGAUACAUAGCCGACCUGAGAGGGUGAUCGGCCACACUGGGACUGAGACACGGCCCAGACUCCUACGGGAGGCAGCAGUAGGGAAUCUUCGGCAAUGGACGAAAGUCUGACCGAGCAACGCCGCGUGAGUGAAGAAGGUUUUCGGAUCGUAAAGCUCUGUUGUAAGAGAAGAACGGGUAUGAGAGUGGAAAGUUCACACUGUGACGGUAUCUUACCAGAAAGGGACGGCUAACUACGUG